rnacentral:rRNA from 1 species
AGAGUUUGAUCCUGGCUCAGGAUGAACGCUAGCGACAGGCCUAACACAUGCAAGUCGAGGGGUAACAGGGAGCUUGCUCCGCUGACGACCGGCGCACGGGUGAGUAACGCGUAUGCAACCUGCCCGCGGGAUCGGGAUAGCCCCCCGAAAGGGGGAUUAACACCGGAUGCGGCUAUUGGGGGGCAUCCCCGGAUAGCCAAAUGCGAAGCUCGCGGAUGGGCAUGCGUCCGAUUAGCUGGUUGGGGGGGUAACGGCCCACCAAGGCGACGAUCGGUAGGGGUCCUGAGAGGGAGGUCCCCCACACUGGUACUGAGACACGGACCAGACUCCUACGGGAGGCAGCAGUGAGGAAUAUUGGUCAAUGGGCGAGAGCCUGAACCAGCCAUGUCGCGUGGAGGAAUAAGGAUCUAUGGUUCGUAAACUCCUUUUGCGCGGGGAUAAAGUGGCGGACUUGUCCGCUAUUGCAGGUACCGCGCGAAUAAGCAUCGGCUAACUCCGUGCCAGCAGCCGCGGUAAUACGGAGGAUGCGAGCGUUAUCCGGAUUUAUUGGGUUUAAAGGGUGCGUAGGCGGCCCGUUAAGCCGGCGGUGAAAUUUCCGGGCUCAACCCGGUCACUGCCGUCGGAACUGGUGGGCUUGAGUGCGUUUGGGGUGGCUGGAAUGUGCGGUGUAGCGGUGAAAUGCAUAGAUAUCGCACAGAACGCCGAUCGCGGAGGCAGGUCGCCAAGCCGCAACUGACGCUGAGGCACGAAAGCGCGGGGAUCGAACAGGAUUAGAUACCCUGGUAGUCCGCGCAGUAAACGAUGGACGCUCGCCGUCCGGCCGGUAAGGGUCGGGUGGCCAAGCGAAAGCGAUAAGCGUCCCACCUGGGGAGUACGCCGGCAACGGUGAAACUCAAAGGAAUUGACGGGGGCCCGCACAAGCGGAGGAACAUGUGGUUUAAUUCGAUGAUACGCGAGGAACCUUACCCGGGCUUGAAAGUUAGCGACGGACGGUGAAAGCCGUCCUCCCUUCGGGGCGCGAAACUAGGUGCUGCAUGGUUGUCGUCAGCUCGUGCCGUGAGGUGUCGGCUUAAGUGCCAUAACGAGCGCAACCCCUGCCCGUAGUUGCCAGCAGUGAGAUGGGGACUCUACGGGGACUGCCACCGCAAGGUGCGAGGAAGGCGGGGAUGACGUCAAAUCAGCACGGCCCUUACGUCCGGGGCGACACACGUGUUACAAUGGGGGGUACAGAGGGAAGCGGCAUGGCGACAUGUAGCGGAUCUCGGAAAGCCCCUCUCAGUUCGGAUCGGAGUCUGCAACCCGACUCCGUGAAGCUGGAUUCGCUAGUAAUCGCGCAUCAGCCAUGGCGCGGUGAAUACGUUCCCGGGCCUUGUACACACCGCCCGUCAAGCCAUGGGAGCCGGGGGCGCCUGAAGUCCGUGACCGAAAGGAGCGGCCUAGGGUGAAACUGGUGACUGGGGCUAAGUCGUAACAAGGUAACC